CUUCCGAACACUUUCACAAAUCUGAUUUCCCUUCAGCAUCUGGAUUUGUCGAAUCAAUUCUUGGAAGGUUUACUCCCAAGCAGCCUGGGAAAUCUCUGGAAACUAAAGUCACUGAGAUUGUCUGCCAACAACUUAACUGGAAAUGUGAUCGAGUUUGUGGAUAGUUUAUCAGGAAAUAAUAGCUUGGAAGUGUUAGAUUUGACACAAAAUAAGUUUCAUGGAGAGUUACCUGUUUCUUUGGGAAAUCUCACCAGCCUGCGAUCUUUCGUCUUACGACAGAAUAUGUUCUGGGGUUCAUUGCCUGAGAGUAUUGGAA
rnacentral:lncRNA from 1 species